rnacentral:rRNA from 1 species
AGGGUUCGAUUCUGGCUCAGGAUGAACGCUAGCGACAGGCUUAACACAUGCAAGUCGAGGGGGCAGCACGGGAGUAGCAAUACUUUGGUGGCGACCGGCGCACGGGUGAGUAACGCGUAUGACAACCUACCUAUCGAGGAAGGGGAACGUAACCCGGACGAAAGUCGGACUAAUACCGCAAUAAAACAGGGGCACCGCAUGGUGAUAUUUGUUAAAGAAAUUCGCUGAUAGAUGGGCAUGCGUUCCAUUAGGUAGUUGGUGAGGUAACGGCUCACCAAGCCGACGAUGGAUAGGGGAACUGAGAGGUUGGUCCCCCACACUGGUACUGAGACACGGACCAGACUCCUACGGGAGGCAGCAGUGAGGAAUAUUGGUCAAUGGGCGGGAGCCUGAACCAGCCAAGUCGCGUGAAAGGAAGAAGGAUCUAUGGUUCGUAAACUUCUUUUGCAGGGGAAUAAAGUGCAGGACGUGUCCUGUUUUGUAUGUACCCUGAGAAUAAGGAUCGGCUAACUCCGUGCCAGCCGCAGC